GACGAACGCUGGCGGCGUGCUUAUCACAUGCAAGUCGAACGGAAAGGCCCUUCGGGGUACUCGAGUGGCGAACGGGUGAGUAACACGUGGGUGAUCUGCCCUGCACUUUGGGAUAAGCCUGGGAAACUGGGUCUAAUACCGAAUAGGACCACGCGCUUCAUGGUGUGUGGUGGAAAGCUUUUGCGGUGUGGGAUGGGCCCGCGGCCUAUCAGCUUGUUGGUGGGGUAAUGGCCUACCAAGGCGACGACGGGUAGCCGGCCUGAGAGGGUGACCGGCCACACUGGGACUGAGAUACGGCCCAGACUCCUACGGGAGGCAGCAGUGGGGAAUAUUGCACAAUGGGCGCAAGCCUGAUGCAGCGACGCCGCGUGAGGGAUGACGGCCUUCGGGUUGUAAACCUCUUUCACCAGGGACGAAGCGUAAGUGACGGUACCUGGAGAAGAAGCACCGGCCAACUACGUG
rnacentral:rRNA from 1 species